rnacentral:rRNA from 1 species
AUUGAACGCUGGCGGCAUGCUUUACACAUGCAAGUCGAACGGCAGCGCGGGCUUCGGCCUGGCGGCGAGUGGCGAACGGGUGAGUAAUAUAUCGGAACGUACCCAAGAGUGGGGAUAACGUAGCGAAAGUUACGCUAAUACCGCAUACGAUCUAAGGAUGAAAGCAGGGGAUCGCAAGACCUUGUGCUCCUGGAGCGGCCGAUAUCUGAUUAGCUAGUUGGUGGGGUAAAGGCCCACCAAGGCAACGAUCAGUAGCUGGUCUGAGAGGACGACCAGCCACACUGGAACUGAGACACGGUCCAGACUCCUACGGGAGGCAGCAGUGGGGAAUUUUGGACAAUGGGGGCAACCCUGAUCCAGCAAUGCCGCGUGAGUGAA